AGCAUAAUUGAUCGUCUUCUGUUACGAAGUGCUGAUGAGACAGUGUGGAAAUGUGGAAUCAGAAUUCUUUUUAAAAUUUGAUGCUACCACUGACUGGGUUUUUAGCAAACCAUUUCACCUCUCCGACUUUCAGUUUUAGGGUGGCAAAUUAAUGACACUGCUCUUUUCCUCUUUCCUUUAGAAUCAGGGUAAGAGCAAGAGACAGGCAGAUGGAAACCAGAACAUGAGGUUUAUUAUUAGCAAAGCUGACUUGGGGAACAUGGCUUUGUAAUGUGUUUCUGUUGGGGACUUUUAAUAUCUUACCCCUGACUUGAACCUACAGAUCAGGUCCUUCAGGCUUCUUCCCACCCCAUUCUCUUUAUACUCAUCUCCAAGGGUAGAGCUUUAUUUUCUAGAGGAGCAGAGUAUGUGUGUAUCCUGUUUAAAAAAAGAGAACCCAGAAGGGGCUAAAGUCAUAUGCUCAUUUCUGUUUCCCUCGUUCCCUAGUGAAGAAAGAGAGUCCACAGUUUCCUCCUGAGGAGGAUAGGGCAUACUUUAUGAGCCAAGGUAAGGAUUCAGGGAGGUUGCCCUUUAGAACAUCGCCUUUAGAGUUGUAGCUCAUCUGGUAGACCUCAGUAAAUAUCAGUUUCCUCUUUCUGUUUUCUUAAUAAUCUAUUAUAAAGGAUAAGGAGGAUGUGAAUAAGUGGUGUAGUGUAUGGAUAUGUGAUUAGAGACAAGGGAUGAUCUUUUUUCCCUUAGAAUCUUGUGUCCUUGCUUCUCUCUCAGCAAAGUUAGUUCAUUUGAGUCUUGCCAUUCUUCCCUUCUGCGUGUAAGGAGUAAUGAGGUUAAGAAAGCCUGGAGGGUAGGCUUCUGAGUGACUGAGCCAUGCCAGAUUCUUUCUGUAAUAAGGCAAGUGAAAUUACAAGUUAAUCAUAUGCCUGGGGCUGAAGAGGAAAGGUGAGGGUAAUUUUGGUUUUAUAACCUGGUUUCUUAAAUUAGCCAGUAGGUCUUUAUUCUGCAUUCAGUUAAUAGCUAUUUACGAAUUACCUUAGUAGGGGAUACUAAUUAAACAGUAUUUGUAGAUUCCUACUGAGGGAAAAAAAAAGGCUCCGUUUGGCAAUUUGUGUGGAUAAAGUUUUCCAGCAAUACCAGGAGAAGACAGAAAUGACUGGGGCGCCUGGGUGGCUCAGUCAUUAAGCGUCUGCCUUCGGCUCAGGUCAUGAUCCCGGGGUCCUAGGAUCGAGCCCCUCGUCGGGCUCCCUGCUCCGUGGGAAGCCUGCUUCUCCCUCUCCCACUCCCCCUGCUUGUGUUCCCUCUCUCACUGUCAAAUAAAUAAAAAUAAAAUCUUUAAAAAAAUAAAUAAAA